GACACUGUAGUUAUGGUGGUUAUAGCAGGCCUAGGAUUCCCCACUAGCACCACUGGCAAAAAACUGUGAGGGUGUUCAGAAUUCUGAUUAAACGUUACACGGUGCAUUACCACCGCUUAGUCUUCCCCCUACUCUAUUUUCCAUGCGGGGCCCAAAGGCGAUCAAAGUAUUAUCCAGGCCCUCUACCACCAAAACUGUCAAUAGAACCCAAGCUCUCUUAGGCGGGGGGGCAACCGAGCCAGGUGACUAGGAGGAGAAACAGUGCCACCGCUUAUAGAAGUGGUUGUGCUUUUUCGCCCUUUUCUUUUUCGUUGUUGUAGAUAAGUGUAUGAAGACUGAGUUCGAUAUUGUAAUGAUUGCUACUGGCUCCAGGGGAGAUUUCUGCUAAUCACUUAGCAGUUUUUAAUUUAACAAGGUCUUGUCCUUCUGUCUCCUGCAUUGAUCUGAUCCUGACGUGCAUGUUUCUUCUGGUUUUUCUCUCCUCCCUACAGAACUUCUGCAGACUGGCUGCUCUCGAGGCCCAGGGAUCCUGCCUCAACAACAAGUACUCAGAGGGGUACCCAGGCAGGAGGCAAGACUGUGGAUACUGUAGGACUAGGCACUAGUUGAGUCUGACCCAUGGUUACAUGUCUGACACGAACAGGAUCUCUGCUACCUCCAUCUAUUUUGAGUCCCUGCCCUACAAGCUCAAUCCUGCCAUAUGACUCACUGACACCGUCUCUUCCGGCCCAAGGUGAUCAUUUCAGAUUCAGAUAAGAUAUUAUAGCAUUUAUGACAAGGCCACGGAUGCUAAAGCGAAGUGAGAUCAACAACAACACAAAAUAAUUAAAUAAUGGUGAUUAGAGAAAGGGGAAAACAUAUACUGAACAAAAAUAUAAAUGCAACAUGUAAAGUGUUGGUAACAUGUUUCAUGAGGUGAAAUAAAAGA